UUAGCCUCUGCAGGACAACGGAAUAAAUUUUAUAAGGAAUAAUAAAAAAUUCAUCGAAGAGAUUAAGCGUGUGGAAAAGAUUUUAAACCUUACUGCUAAAUAUUUUGAAACCCUAUGUGCAGAGCCUUGUCCAGCAAUUAACUCCUUCUAAAAGCUUUAAAUCUGCUUCAAACGAAAUGAGCAGUGAUUUGAAACGGCCCGAAAAAAACGCCAGUAGAGGCAAAAAAAAACGUGAACGAAAUGAUCUGACGGAUGGCCGCAUUGCAAUGUCUUUCCAUGCACAUGGUCCGUGGAUUCAAACGCCCAUCUGUGUUUGAAACUAACCUAGCCGUUGAGUGAUCUAGAAUGUUUGAAACGGAAGGAAAAUUCAAAUUUCAAACUUCAUGGAGCGUGCAAAAGUAUGAUUAUAUAUAACCCUCGGCAUUUGUAGGCCAGAGGAUGAAGAUGCAAAGGAAAGGAAAAUGCAGGACCAGGAAAUAGAAAUUGAAUGAGGGGAAAAUUCUUCUUACAGUUGAUCAUGACACUCGCAAUGGGAUUCAUCAGUGGGUCUAUUUCUAAGAGGAGGCCUUGCUAAACAUUUCAUGACUCUCUCUGAACUUGCUCACAGAAACAUGGAGAAGCUGCAGUCAUUGAAGUUGACGUGUUUGGUGAGGUUGACCUGAUGAUUACAAAUGGGACUUGGGAUAUGAUUUUUCUUGGUUUCAGGCUAGCAGAUUUUAUAAAGUAGAGAAUGAAAUAUGUGUAAUACGGAGAAGCUACAAUCAUUCAAGUUUACGAGGUUGACAUGAAUGAUUAAAAUUGAACCUGGUUUCUUUGGACAGCAAUGAUCAAGGACUGCAUGCUAUCAUGAAACUCAUAUUGUGCUUCUCUUUAUUGUUGAGACUGCUCAAACUUUUGCCACAAUUCUGCAUUCAUAGCUCUUGGUGAUGGAUCAUUCUAGGACUGUCACAACUUUGGUAGCAGACAGCAAGCUCACAUGAAAGGGUGGCAACAUGUUGCAGCCAAAAAAAACUGCAGUUUGAUAAGAAGGAUCCUGAGUAGCUUUUUGAAUUAGUGGUUUUUCAUCAUGGUGUAUUCAAAAUAGCAAGAGAUGGAACUAGGCUUGCAUCAUUUCUUUAGUUAUGUUUUGGUCAUAUUGACUUGAUAGCAUUGUAACAUGUACAAAUAUAAUGUUUAAUAAAAAAGUUAUUGGAUUGGAAGGGGUUAAAAACUCCUUCCAAAGUCCGAAGGGAA